rnacentral:rRNA from 1 species
CCUGGCGGCUGUAGCGCGGUGGUCCCACCUGACCCCAUGCCGAACUCAGAAGUGAAACGCCGUAGCGCCGAUGGUAGUGUGGGGUCUCCCCAUGCGAGAGUAGGGAACUGCCAGGA